rnacentral:rRNA from 1 species
CCUACGGGAGGCAGCAGUGGGGAAGAUUGGGCAAUGGGCGCAAGCCUGACCCAGCAACGCCGCGUGAAGGAAGAAGGCUUUCGGGUUGUAAACUUCUUUUAAGAGGGAAGAGCAGAAGACGGUACCUCUUGAAUAAGACACGGCUAACGACGUGCCAGCAGCCGCGGUAAUACGUAGGUGGCAAGCGUUGUCCGGAUUUACUGGGUGGAAAGGGCGUGCAGCCGGGAAGACAAGUCAGAUGUGAAAUCCCGCGGCGCAACCGCGGAACUGCAUUUGAAACUGUUUUUCUUUAGUACCGGAGAGGUCAUCGGAAUUCCUUGUGUAGCGGUUACCUUCGUCGAUAUAAGGAAG